GACAGAGGGUGCAAACGUUGUUCGGAAUUACUGGGCGUAAAGCGAGUGUAGGCGGUUUGGUAAGUCGGAUGUGAAAGCCCCGGGCUCAACCCGGGAAGUGCACUCGAUACUGCCAAGCUAGAGUGUCGGAGAGGUUGGUGGAAUUCUCGGUGUAGAGGUGAAAUUCGUAGAUAUCGAGAGGAACACCGGUGGCGAAGGCGGCCAACUGGACGAAACACUGACGCUGAGACUCGAAAGCGUGGGGAGCAAACAGG
rnacentral:rRNA from 1 species